AUUGAACGCUGGCGGCAUGCCUUACACAUGCAAGUCGAACGGCAGCACGGGUGCUUGCACCUGGUGGCGAGUGGCGAACGGGUGAGUAAUACAUCGGAACGUACCUUAUCGUGGGGGAUAACGCAGCGAAAGCUGUGCUAAUACCGCAUACGCCCUGAGGGGGAAAGCGGGGGAUCGCAAGACCUCGCGCGAUUAGAGCGGCCGAUGCCUGAUUAGCUAGUUGGUGGGGUAAAAGCCCACCAAGGCGACGAUCAGUAGCUGGUCUGAGAGGACGAUCAGCCACACUGGGACUAAGACACGGCCCAGACUCCUACGGGAGGCAGCAGUGGGGAAUUUUGGACAAUGGGGGCAACCCUGAUCCAGCAAUGCCGCGUGAGUGAAGAAGGCCUUCGGGUUGUAAAGCUCUUUUGUCAGGGAAGAAACACCGGCUCUAACACAGUCCGGGAAUGACGGUACCUGAAGAAUAAGCACCGGCUAACUACGUGCCAGCCGCCGCGGUAA
rnacentral:rRNA from 1 species